CCUACGGGCGGCAGCAGUGAGGAAUAUUGGUCAAUGGGCGCGAGCCUGAACCAGCCAAGUCGCGUGAAGGAUGACUGCCCUAUGGGUUGUAAACUUCUUUUAUAAAGGAAUAAAGUGAUGCACGUGUGGAUUUUUGUAUGUACCUUAUGAAUAAGCAUCGGCUAACUCCGUGCCAGCAGCCGCGGUAAUACGGAGGAUGCGAGCGUUAUCCGGAUUUAUUGGGUUUAAAGGGUGCGUAGAUGGGUUGUUAAGUCAGUUGUGAAAGUUUGCGGCUCAACCGUAAAAUUGCAAUUGAUACUGGCAGUCUUGAGUACAGUUGAGGUAGGCGGAAUUCGUGGUGUAGCGGUGAAAUGCAUAGAUAUCACGUAGAACUCCGAUUGCGAAGGCAGCUUACUAAACUGCCACUGACACUGAUGCACGAAAGUGUGGGUAUCAAACAGGAUUAGAUACCCUAGUAGUC
rnacentral:rRNA from 1 species